rnacentral:tRNA from 1 species
GGCCUGAUGGUCUAGUGGUACGAUUCUCGCUUUGGGUGCGAGAGGCCCCGGGUUCGAACCCCGGUCAGGCCC